rnacentral:rRNA from 1 species
GGAGAAAAGCAGGGGAUCGCAAGACCUCACGCUCUGAGAAAGGCCUAUGGCGGAUUAGCUAGUUGGUGAGGUAAAGGCUUACCAAGGCGACGAUCAGUAGCUGGUCUGAGAGGACGACCAGCCACACUGGGACUGAGACACGGCCCAGACUCCUACGGGAGGCAGCAGUGGGGAAUUUUGGACAAUGGGGGAAACCCUGAUCCAGCCAUGCCGCGUGAGUGAAGAAGGCCUUCGGGUUGUAAAGCUCUUUCAGCCGGAACGAAACGGUCACGGCUAAUACCUGUGAUCACUGACGGUACCGGAAGAAGAAGCACCGGCUAACUACGUGCCAGCAGCCGCGGUAAUACGUAGGGUGCAAGCGUUAAUCGGAAUUACUGGGCGUAAAGCGUGCGCAGGCGGUUUUGUAAGUCAGAUGUGAAAUCCCCGGGCUUAACCUGGGAACUGCGUUUGAAACUACAAAGCUAG